rnacentral:lncRNA from 1 species
AUGCAAGUUGAAAAGGAUUUAGCAAGCCAAGUUGGAAACAAUGUUGAGGUAACAAGUGAUGGUAGUUUGGUGAACCGUAGAUCUGAACGGGUUAGGCAAGCUAAGAAGGUCAAGGAGGUCACCAACCUUUACAAUUGACAAGUAAGUUCCUUGUGAUGACAUCAAUAAUUUCCCAUUUAUGCACUUUCUUAUAUUCUGUCAUAAACAUAUGAUGUUUGCUUUAGUCCAUAUGAUUUUGUAUGUUGUUUCAAUUGGGGUUGCCAUCUAUUAAUUGUUGUUUCUGCCAUCAACUUGAUGUUUAUAUAAUUCACAAUGCUUUAGUCCAUAUGAUUCUAUAUGGUGUUUCAAUUGGGGCUGCCAUCUAUGAGUUGUUGUUGCCAUCUACUUGUAAUGUUUAUAUAAUUCACAAUGCUUUAGUCCAUCUAAAUUUAUAUGUUGUAUUAAUUUGGGCUGUCAUCAUGAGUUGUUUCUGCCAUCUACUUGUAAUAUUUAUAUAAUUCACAUUGUUUCUGCACAUAUGAUUUUAUAUGUUGUUCCAAUUGCGGCUGCCAUCAUUGAGUUGUUGUUUCUGCCAUCUACUUGUAAUGUUUAUAUAAUUCACAAUGCUUUAGUUGCAAGGUUAAGAGGCAUGGGAGCAAAAGAGCUUUUGGUUUGAUGAAGACUAACGGGUGGAUGAACAGGAAGUCCGAAGUGAAGGUCUCUAUUCGACUCAAUACUUUUGGUGCAAGACUGAAGAGUUGAAGAACAGGAAGUCUGAAUUGAACUUUCUGUUUGUAUUUUGGGGUCGGCAUAAUUGAACUUCGAAUGCCGUGUUAAAUUCAUCGUGGACUGUAAUUCUGAACUGUUAUGGGUGUUCG